UUUAGGAGUGAUGUCAACAAGAUGGUGACAUAGUUGUUCCUGACUUUGCUCCCCCACACCAGAACAAACACCACUCAAGAAUAAGACCCACUGAGAGAAUCCUAGAACACAAAAAUGAGGCUGAAACACCCCCACGUCACAGACACAGGGAGAGACUGCAUUCAAAGGAAUAGUCUUUAAGAAGAUGAUUCAGCUGUGGUUCACAUUGGCUUGCAUGUUGUAAUCCAUCUUCCCUUCCUAAAAAAGAGGUAAAACGUGAGACGACGAUAUUUCAGUCAUCUCACACAGUGGCAAAGUCAGAGCUAGUCCUACCUGAACCACUCCAAGCACUAACUCAAGAGUCAUUUUUAAUUCAAAACACUUGAAUUAAAGAUAUUUUUAUAUUUUA